GACGAACGCUGGCGGCGUGCCUAAUACAUGCAAGUCGAACGAACCGCGACUAAGUGCUUGCACUAAGUCAAGGUGAGUGGCGAACGGGUGAGUAACACGUGGGUAACCUACCUCAUAGUGGGGGAUAACAGUCGGAAACGACUGCUAAUACCGCAUAGGACAUAGGAUCACAUGAUCCAGUGAGGAAAGGUGGCGCAAGCUAUCGCUAAGAGAUGGACCCGCGGUGCAUUAGCUAGUUGGUAGGGUAAAGGCCUACCAAGGCGAUGAUGCAUAGCCGACCUGAGAGGGUGAUCGGCCACAUUGGGACUGAGACACGGCCCAAACUCCUACGGGAGGCAGCAGUAGGGAAUCUUCCGCAAAGGACGCAAGUCUGACGGAGCAACGCCGCGUGAGUGAAGAAGGUCUUCGGAUCGUAAAGCUCUGUUGUUAGAGAAGAACAGCGCAUAGAGUAACUGCUAUGCGUGUGACGGUAGCUAACCAGAAAGCCACGGCUAACUACGUG
rnacentral:rRNA from 1 species